AACGCACAUUGCGCCCCCUGGUAUUCCGGGGGGCAUGCCUGUCCGAGCGUCAUUACAACCCUCAAGCCUAGCUUGGUGUUGGGCUCCGCCGCCUGGCGGGCCCUAAAGUCAGUGGCGGUGCCGUCCAGCUCCGAGCGUAGUAACUCUUCUCGCUCUGGAGGCCUGGGCGCGUGCCUGCCAGCAACCCCCCAAUUUUAUCAGGUUGACCUCGGAUCAGGUAGGGAUACCCGCUGAACUUAA
rnacentral:misc_RNA from 1 species